AUAGAUAACAUUUUUUGUAUGGCAGCUUAUAAAAUCAUGAAUAUCAUACACUUUUUUGGUUUGAUUUGACAUAAAUUUUGUAAUUUUUGAUGAAAUGACAUGAUCCACAGUUUUACAUACAAUGCAUUGUUUGCAUCUAAAAAAAACUUUUGUCUGAGGGAAAAAUGAUACAUUUUUUAAAGGAGAUUUUUUUGUAAAGUUUGUAGUUAAAAUAGAUUUAAAAUUAGGUGCUCCUCUAAAAACAAUGUUUGGAUGAGUAGGUAUAAUAGAAUUGAGUAUCUCAUCAUGCUUAAGUAGGUG